GAUGAACGCUGGCGGCGUGCUUAACACAUGCAAGUCGAACGAUAACACCCAGCUUGCUGCUUGUAUUAGUAGCGAACGCGUAAGUAACACGUGAGUAACCUGCACUUAACUCUGGAAUAAGCCUAGUAAAGUGGGUCUAAUACCAGAUAGCAUCGUCCCCCGCAUGCUGGGUGUUGGAAAGAUUUAUCGGUUUUCGAUGGACUCGCGGCUGAUCAGCUUGUUGGUGGGGUAAUGGCUGACCAACGUAAGGACCGGUACCCGGCAUGAGAGAGUGACCGGCCACAAAGGGACUACGGCACGGACCAGAAUCAUACAGGAGGCAGCAGUCGGGAGUAUGUCGCAACGAGGGCACGCGUGAUGAAGCGGCGCCGGGUGAGGGAAGACGGCCCUCUGGUUGGAAACAUAGUUAAGUAAAGAAGAAGAGAAAGUGACGGUACCUGCAGAAGAAGCACCGGCUAACUCCGUG
rnacentral:rRNA from 1 species